rfam:Triticum aestivum genome assembly, contig: Triticum_aestivum_CS42_TGACv1_scaffold_000180_1AL
CUUAUACUCCCUCCGUUCUGAAUUACUUGUCGCAAAAAUGGAUGUAUCUAGAUGUAUUUUAGUUCGGGAUACAUCCAUUUCUGUGACAAGUAAUUUGAAAUGGAGGGAGUAGCUC